rnacentral:lncRNA from 1 species
AGCGGCCGGUCGGAUUAAAAGUAACCAGACUCGUCCAGAAAACUGCGUCCAGGAAGGAAGUGACAGAAGACGAAUGGGAAAAGGAGAACAGCUCACAGCGUUUGAAACAUCGCGGCACCACUUUCAGAUAAAAACAUAGACCUGAAUGGCAUCAUCCAGUAUCCAAGGAAACCAUUGUGUCUGUAACCAGCUAAUGAGCUGCAACAGAGCCUGGCCUUCAUUUUCAGCAAAUUAAGUUCAUCCCUCAUAGGAAUUGUGGUCUGGCUGUGGCACCGCUCCUAGGAAACCAGAAUACAUUAGGGAGGAGACAGCAAAGGAAAACAAAAGACAAUAAAGGAAUCGAUGUAUUUGUUUUGUAACUCAAAGUUAAAGUCCAAAUUUAGAAAAUAGAUUUGAAAGCAUAACGGGUCAAUUUCUGUUGUGCCUCUGAAGAAGAAAGUUGAGAAAGAACGAAGAGGGCUUAGAUGCUGGUGGGUGUCUGCAAAAAAGCCCAGACAAUGCCUGGAAUAAUAAAGAAGCAGAGAACUUCCAGGGAGGAAGGGAACAGUCUCUAAGAUGGAGCAGGACCUGGGGAAGUCUUGCUUCUCCACUGAAGAACAUGGACCAAGACCAGGGCAGAAGGGAUGGCAGCUUCCCCGUAGAGCAGUGAGGACGGAUGACGACAUGAAGACUGGACUGCUCAUUCUCAC